rnacentral:lncRNA from 1 species
GGCUGGAUCUCUUGAUCCCUAGUGGUGCUCCCUGUAGGCCUCCUCUUCCACGACAUGGAUCCGCGGCCACCUCGUCCCUGUAGUUGUUCCCUGGCCGCCUCCUGGUUAGCCAUGGCCAUACUCAAAUAUCCUAUGCCCCUCCUGGUCACUGUUAGAACUUUAGAACAUGGGUGCACUUAUAUUUAUGCAUCAGGAUUUAUUAACUUUUAUACAAAUUGUAGGAAUAUACUACAGUUAGUGGAUUUUUUUUCCACAAAUUGUAGGACUAUACUAGUGUUUAGCACUUUCUAAUUUUUAUACAAGUUUUGUACCUGUAGCACUUUAAUUUGGCACUUUGUCUUUUAUUUGGAAACUCUGUCAUGGCACUUUGUUCAACAUCCAUUUGUUUAUGUUGCCAUGUAAUCUGGAUGAUUACUAAGGCGUAAUUUUAGUUAAUUAACCUUGGUACUUUGUUAUUUACAUUGCCAGUCUGUUAUACAACACAAAAUACAAAUGAAUAAAUCUUAACACCUACAUGUUUUAUUUGCUCCCAUGAUCACUUCUUGGCUGAUCCACAUACAAGUUGAGGAGGCGCGGUCAAGGCUGGGAGGAAAGGCGGGUUGUCAUCAUCGCCAAACUGGGAGCUCUGCGCUUUGACCGUUCUCACUUUAUUUAUGGAUUGGCUGAAGCUUCUGAACAGUAUUUAGUUAUUUCUUUCUUAUAUUUUCACUUUCAACACUACUCCUGAAGCUUCUGAACAGGUUUUAGCUAUUUCUCUCUUAUAUUUUCACUUUCAACACCAAUUCAUUGCCUGAAGCUUGCAUAGUAUUAAUAAUUGCUUGCUAUUCAUUAUUGCCUGAAGCGAGAGAACAAUUUAGUUAUUUCUCCGGUAAUUGAUAGUUGCUCAUGGAGUUUUUCUUCUCUUUUCCCCUUUGUCGAAGAUAUGUCAUAGCAUCAGUUCUUCCCCUUUUAUUAUAUGCUAUCAGUGUUAUAUCUACAUGUAGCGUCCGGGAAUACUACGUACGCUGGGUUGAGCAACCCUUCCCCACAUAGUGUUCUAUAAAAAAUAAGGCAUCCAUCUAAUUCUACAUGACAACCUUCCAACAUGAGGUAACAUCAUUUGUGGCAUGGGUAUAUCUUAUAUCUACUAACUAUCACGUCUAGAUAUUAGCGUUACCAAGUGUAUACAUCUAUAUUGCCAAUGCGUCUGCACUUUCGAUAAUUAGUCAAUAUUUUCAUGUAUUUGUUACAACAGUAUCGUCUUAGCAAGCGUGUUGUCUUGUAAAAAUUUGAUGAUUGCAUCUGCACUUCGUAUCUAAGGUUCUUACGAUAAUUAGCCAAUAUUUUCAUGUAUUUGUAGAUGCACGAACUGUUUGCUAAUUUCAGCUUUGUUCUUCAUUACUGCAGGGCAUAUCUAUAUUCUAAGGAAAAAUUAGUGCACCUGGUAAUUCUUUCUUGACAUGGCUAUUCUAUCGAGGUUUAAUUCUAUGAUACACAACUAAUAGUUUGUUGGUAUGCAUAACUAUCUUGCCAAAGAUUUUGCCUGUGUAUAUCACUUCAUAGUUGAAAGUGUUUGCUGCAAUCAUUAUGAGCAUAAAAAAUAGUGUAGAACUCUACUUGCUACUACCAUCAACUCUCAAUGAGUCAGUGAUGGACAGGAUUAUCUCUCAUGUAUUUGAACAAUGCAUUCAGGGUCUAUUGAUAGAUGCGUUAAUUUGUUUUUUUAUCACUCCUUUCUGCCACCAAUGUUUUUACAUCCAAAUGAAGUACACUAUUCUUAUACAGUCUUAGAAUAUUUUGAUUUUUUUAAUGAUCACUUAAAUAAAUAAAUAUCGACGGUUAUGGGAGGGGGAGGCGG